AUACGGAGGAUCCGAGCGUUAUCCGGAUUUAUUGGGUUUAAAGGGUGCGCAGGCGGGGGAUUAAGUCAGAUGUGAAAUUUUGCAGCUCAAAUGUAAAAGUGCCUUCGAAAAUGGUUUCCUUGAGUGUAGAUGAAGUUGGCGGUAUUUGUGGCGUAGCGGUGAAAUGCAUAGAUAUCACGAGGAACUCCGAUUUCGCAGGCAGCUUACUAAACUACUACUGACGCUCAGGCACGAAGGCGUGGGGAUCAAACAGGAUUAGAUACCCUGGUAGUCCACGCAGUAAACGAUGAUUACUAGCUGUUUGCGAUACAAUGUAAGCGGCUGAGCGAAAGCGUUAAGUAAUCCACCUGGGGAGUACGUUCGCAAGAAUGAAACUCAAAUGAAUUGACGGGG
rnacentral:rRNA from 1 species